AGCGCAGCUACACAUGCAGUCGUGCGGGGUAAGCGCCAAUCGGGAUGCCGGCGAGCGGCGGACGGGUGAGUAAUGCCUAGGAAUCUGCCUGGUAGUGGGGGAUAACUCGGGGAAACUCGAGCUAAUACCGCAUACGUCCUACGGGAGAAAGCGGGGGAUCUUCGGACCUCGCGCUACCAGAUGAGCCUAGGUCGGAUUAGCUAGUUGGUGAGGUAAAGGCUCACCAAGGCGACGAUCCGUAGCUGGUCUGAGAGGAUGAUCAGCCACACUGGAACUGAGACACGGUCCAGACUCCUACGGGAGGCAGCAGUGGGGAAUAUUGGACAAUGGGCGAAAGCCUGAUCCAGCCAUGCCGCGUGUGUGAAGAAGGUCUUCGGAUUGUAAAGCACUUUAAGUUGGGAGGAAGGGCAGUAAGUUAAUACCUUGCUGUUUUGACGUUACCGACAGAAUAAGCACCGGCUAACUUCGUGCCAGCAGCCGCGGUAAUACGAAGGGUGCAAGCGUUAAUCGGAAUUACUGGGCGUAAAGCGCGCGUAGGUGGUUUGAUAAGUUGGAUGUGAAAGCCCCGGGCUCAACCUGGGAAUUGCAUCCAAAACUGUCUGACUAGAGUAUGGCAGAGGGUGGUGGAAUUUCCUGUGUAGCGGUGAAAUGCGUAGAUAUAGGAAGGAACACCAGUGGCGAAGGCGACCGCCUGGGCUAAUACUGACACUGAGGUGCGAAAGCGUGGGGAGCAAACAGGAUUAGAUACCCUGGUAGUCCACGCCGUAAACGAUGUCGACUAGCCGUUGGGAUCCUUGAGAUCUUAGUGGCGCAGCUAACGCAUUAAGUCGACCGCCUGGGGAGUACGGCCGCAAGGUUAAAACUCAAAUGAAUUUGACGGGGGCCCGCACAAGCGGUGGAGCAUGUGGUUUAAUUUCGAAGCAACGCGAAGACCUUACCAGGCCUUGACAUGCAAAGAACUUUCCAGAGAUGGAUUGGUGCGUCGGUACUCUGACACAGUGCUGCAUGCUGUCGUCAGCUCGUGUCGUGAAGAUGUGGGUAAGUCCAGUAACGAGCGCAACCUUGUUCUUAGCUACCAAGCACGUUAAGGUGGGCCACCUUCUUAAGGAAACUGCAGUGACAAAUCGGAAGAAAGUUGGGAAUUGAAA
rnacentral:rRNA from 1 species